rnacentral:SRP_RNA from 13 species
UCAGGUGUUCGACGGCUCGCUCGAAGCCUGGUCCUACGGGGCCGGUGGAGGCAAGGGUAAAGCCUACAGGGAACAUUUC